UCAUGAGGCCCCCACGGCUGGGGGGUCAGUCACGUGGUGGGUGUUGUAUCUUCUCACGCAAGUCGACUGCUCUGGGCCCGAAAUGGGAGCGCUCCUGCAGGUGUCAUGACUUUGGGGAGGGGAGAGAAGAUGAGUGUAGGGCCUGAUCCAAGUACUACAGCUACUGCCCAUGGCUUGGAGCUCGAGGCAUAGGAGCAUUGGGGAAACCGAGGCUCCACUGGCCGGGCUGGAUUAACCUAAGGGAACCGGGCUAUUCCUCUAAACCUCACAAAUCCAGCUGUGCCCUCCCAGCCCCCACACUCUCCUCUACUCCCCGUACCCCAGGGUCUGCCCUGUCUCCCCUCAUCAAGAGCCGCCACUGGCUCCCUCUGGCCUUCAGGACACAGCCCUUUUCCUCAGCUGGGAGUCAUGACCCCCGCCCCCACCCCUUGCUUGGCUGCCAGAAACCCUCCUGCCCCAGACCCUCCCCCCUCCCUCCUAGAACUGCUCCCCCCUUCCCCAAAUCCCACCCAGAGACCAGGUUUCCCCUUUUCUCUAGGAAGCCCUGUGGGCACCCCUGUCCACCAGGCCCCAGCAUGCGAGUUCUGAAUGAAGUUUUGAGGGCAAAGCUCAGCGCUUCAACUGAAAGAAAUUCUCUGCCUCGGUGUCUCCCAUCUGGAGUGUCUGCGCCGCUGCUCCGCCCAGGCCUCCUGCCCAUUUCACAGAGGGAACACCCAGGCCUGCCCCUGCAGCACCCACCGUUGCUGUGGGCCACCACCAGCCAGAUGGUGUCCAAGUCGGAGAUGUUGAGGCGACUGAACUGGCCCCUUGGCUGCUCCAGCGUGAAGGUAGACUGGGCGUUGAGAGCGAACAUCACAACAGCUGGAGAGCUCGCUUCUUUCUGAAGACACGUUCCUGCUCAUCGACUCAUCUCCACAGCUCCUCUAGAAGUGAGUAGGGCAGGCAUUAUGACUAAUCUCAUUACACAGACGAGAAAACAGAGCCCAACCUUCCUGCAGUGGCCUCUCGAGCUGGAGAUCGGCCCCAGGUUGGUCAUACUCAGGACUCUCUCCCUGUGGAUCUGUGUGGCAUUGGGGGCCGGCGGGAACACUGAUGUUUCCCGUCUCAGUUCGUGGCCCACGCUGAUUACUGCUCUGCACAAGGCCCUGAGUUUACUUUUGUAUUUUCCCUCUUUGUGCCUGCGUCCCUCUGUCUCCUGCCCCCACCCCCAGGACCCCCACUGUCCUCGGUUUGCUGUGUGUCCAGGAUCACUUACCUGUGUCUGCCGUGAGAUAUACUGUGGUCCGGUACCCGGCAUGAGGCCCCUAAAGGGGUAUCUUUGUUCCCUCAAAGUGCGCCACAGUAGUAAAGACAAAAAUAGUGUUUUUGUUUUUCAUAACAAGCCCCUUUCUUUAAAAAAAUAAUUUAUUUUACUUAUUUUGACAGAGAGAGAGAGAGAGAGAGAGAGAGAGAGAGAGCACAGCACGGGCAGAGGGAGAGGGAGAGAGAGAAUCCCAAGUAGGCUCUGCACUGUCAGCACAGAGCCCGAUGUGAAGUUCGAACUCAUGAACUGUGACAUCAUGACCUAAACCGAAAUCAAGAGUAGGACGCUUAACCCACUGAGCUACCCAGGCACCCCAAUAACAAGCCCCUUUCCCCCUGAGUUUAUGUUAAUGAGGUGACAUUUGGAAGGCCCCUAGAUAACCCCAGGAUGGGCACUGGUGGCCAAGGACACCAGCACGAAGAGAGGAUUGGAAUUUUCUGCCCCAUCCCCCCUACUUCCCCAGUGGCCAGUGGCUUAAUCAAUUAUUCCUACAUCAAGCCUCCAUAAAAACCCCAAAACUGAAAAAUACUGAAAAAAAAUCAGUCCUUUCCCUUUGUUGUCAUAUACCACAGACAUAGGCAAUUCUCAGUGUCCCCUCUCAGCUUGACCCAGGACAAGCUCCCAUAAUGUACCAGCGGUAUCCACACCCACAGCCCACUUGGGGUGCCGUUGGCUUAGUUUGUCCUGCCAAGGACAAGGUACGAGGGCUCCUCCCCAGACUCACCGGCCUCCAGGGGUUCUCCCCAGUCCUGCAAGAUUCAUCGUGGGGCUGCUGCAGGUGACAGGCUCAGCCAGGCUGGGGGAUGCUCUCUGAUGUUGGUCGGUGAGCUGAUGGCCGGCCCCCACUCGGGCACAACUGGAUAUCACCAGGGGAAGCAGCUCCCAGCAGUGUGUCACUAUGUGGCAGAAAUGAUGAUAGUGACAAGGAGGACUGGGGCAGAUCCAAGGCCAGAGACACCACCUCCACCCACUGCCAUUUUUCUAGCCUGGGUCAGCCCUGGGACUUUGGCACAAGCUCAAGGAGGGAAGAAAAGCCACACAAAGUGAUCACUAUGGGACCCACAGCCCCAGAGAGUGGACACCAGGAAGCAGAGUUGCUAUGAUUCAGAAAACAAAGAAGUCUGAUGCAUCCUAUAUCUCAAAGGUUACAGACAUUCAUGCCUGAUUCGUGUGUGUGUGUGUGUGUGUGUGUGUGUGUGUGUGUGUGUUCAGGUCAGCUCCUGGACUUCCUGAUUCAUUUCUUGGACCAAUCUUCUUUUUUUUAAAUUAUUUUUUAUUAAAUUAAAAAAAUGUUUAUUUAUUGAGACAGAGAGACAUUGCGUGAGCGUGGCAGGGGUUGAGAGAGGAAGACACAGAAUCUGAAGUAGAUUCUAGGCUCUGAACCGUCAGCACAGAGCCUGAUGCAAGGCUUGAACUCGUGAACUGCAGGAUCACGACCUGAGCUGAAGUCGGACUUAACUGAGCCACCCAGGCGCCCCUCUUGGACCAAUCUUCUAUUUGGGUAUCAGUAUCAGGCCAUUUUAGUCUUUGUAACUAUGCCCUACGUUCUACUCGACCACAGUACUAACUGGCUGUACCGUUAUUUGACGAAUGCUUCUUCUCUUCGUUAACAGUGACUCCUGGAGUGCAGUGAUUGGGUCUGUUUGGUUCCCCCACUGUGUCCCCAUUGCUGAGCCCAGGGUCCAGCACAAUAUCUGUGCUCAGUAGUUAUUUUGACUGCUAAUAUGGCCACCUCCCUGUUCCAUGGAUCUGGCCGGGUGGCCAGCGGUUACCAUCUUGUUUUACAGCAUCAGUCUGACAACUAGAAUGUUGUGGCUUCUGGGUAGAGGCCAGCUUCUCUGUUGGAUCCCCUCUUCCUGGUCCAGAUGUCCCCAGCUCCAGUGAGUCCCUGUGUGAAGGGAAGGGGCCCACGAUGCCCAGAGGGACUGGGUGGGGCCCAUGCCAAGCCCCAGGGAACAGUCUAUUCCCAAGGACCUACCUUGCCUUGUACCUUUGGGGUGACUCAUGUGAUGAGGUGUGGCUUCCACCCGCCCCCAAACACAGGGCCACCAGAGAAAUGCUCCCAAAGGCCCACCCCAGCCCCAUGUCCCCAGGCAGGGCCCCAGCUCCAUGGCAACCAUCACAGCCUGUCCCGAGGAGAGGCUCGGGCACCUCCAGGGGCAGCCUGGGACUUUGUGCAGGGAGGGGAAGUACGGGUGACCCAGUCCCUUCCCCCUGCACCAGCUUAGCCUAGGGGCCACUCACCGAAUGCUGACAGAGACCCAGCGGUGCUAAUCCCAAGGGGGACAGACGCCCACGGUUCAUUGAGCCCACCCUGGUCCUUAAUCUUUCCACGGCACAGUGAUCCAGCCCCUUCCAGUUCUGCUGGUUCAUCCCUCGAGACAGGCAGCUCACCACUUCCCUGGUCUAGUGAUAGCAUCAGACACCUGGAAUCAUAAAGCAGAAAGCUCUUUCAAUAGGGGGGUGCCUCCUUUGAGUGAAAUUGCACAACUUUGGGGCCAAGAGGCAAGCAAGCCUGGCUCACUCUUGAUCCACCGAAGCCUGGGGUAGGUGGGCUUACAUCUCCCCCCACGGGACACAGGGCUGCUGGAGGUCAGGAAACUGAGGCCUUUUUACUUUCUAUGUCCAGUGCAGCUGCCACACUGUUUAUUGAAGGGCUACUGUGUGCCAGGACCCCUGCGGGCACAGGUCAUGGGCAGAAGCUCUAGAGGAGAAGUGUGGGUUGGGAAAAGAGUGGGUACUUUAUUUUUAUUUUAUUAAAAUAUUUUUUUAAAUGUUUAUUUUUGAGAGAGACAGAGAGUGUGAGCAGCGGAGGGGCGGAGGGAGAGAGAAACAGAGAGAGAGAGAGAGAGAGAGAGAGAGAAUCUGAAGCAGGCUCCAGGCUCUGAGCUGUCAGCACUGAGCCCAACGCAGGGCUCAAACUCACAAACCGUGAGAUCGUGACCUGAGCCAGAAUCAAGAGCCAGACACUCAACUGACUGAGCCACCCAGGCGCUCCAGGGUGGGUAAUUUAUUCACUGAUCCCCCCAAUAGGCCGUCAGAGAGCCCAGCAGCUCUGCCCGCAGAGGACCCCCACUUGAAGAGGCACCCGGAGAUGUCUGAUGAGCUGAGCCCCCUCAGCCCCCAAACCCUCCCGCCCACCCCUCCUCACCCCAGCCCAUGGCACCCUCUACCCUGGGGGCUCUCCCACUGCCCCAGCCCCAUGGAGUUGGGGCUCAGACAAGGACAGGGUUCCAGUCACAGGGAUCGGAGGGCAAAGUUGAGCCUGGAGAUUCCAUUAAAAACAUGCGGUGGAGGGGCUUUGGGCCACCUCCACUGGGUGGGGAGGGGAGCAGAGGGACCAGGGCUGGGGACCAGGAGGGAGAGGCCAGGAUGACUAAUGAGGCAUUCCUCUCUGUCCCUCCGGGAGAAAAGUCACGGAGAAGAGUGGUUGUCAAGGGCAACACAUUCUUUUCCUGUGGGUAACUCUAGCUUGUGUCAUCCACAGGGAGUGGGGUUUGGGGGAGGCCAGGACUGGAGGGUCUGAGCCGGGAAGCUUGGAGGUCUUCGCUCAUUUUACAGAGGGAAACUGAGGCCAGGGGAGGAGGGCGGGGUUGCCUGGUGGGGCAAACGAGGUAUAAAGGAGAAUGCCAGGCUCCCGUCUCGCUCCUGGGGCUCUCUCUCAGGAGUCAGGGGUGUCCAGGCUAGGACAGGUGCGGGGGAUGGUAGGGGAGGACGAGGACACGGCUGUAGUGGCCUCUGGCUUCUGUAUGGGGAGGGAAGGGGAAGGCCACCCAGAGAGCUGGGUCGGGGGUUGUGAGCAGAUCCUGGCCUACACCCAUCCAAGUCCAUUGUGAAGGCCUCGGCCUGCCCAGUGCACCCCCCAAGCCCCGUCCUACUUCCGAGCCUCUAUGCACAAAAGCCUCUGCUCACCUGUUGGCUGGACGUUAAACGUCUCCCCCUGACCCCUACUCCGUGCGCUCCAGCUCCGUGACUACUCCUGCCCACUCUGCUGUAAUGGUGGGUGGAUUAGCCCACUCGGCGGCCACAGCAAAAAGCCACAGAUCAGGGUGCUUAAGCAUCAUCAAAAAAAAAACAA